AAUUGUCAUACCAACGCUACCUGUGAUAACAUCGCUGGCUCGUACACUUGCAAAUGUAGCCAUGGAUUCACCGGUGAUGGAUUCAACUGCACGGAUAUUGACGAAUGCGCGAAGGGUUUACACGGUUGCCAUGCUAACGCUACCUGUGAUAACAUCGCUGGCUCGUACACUUGCAAAUGUAGCCAUUGAUUCACCGGUGAUGGAUUCAACUGCACGGGUAAAAUAUGUUUAAGUAAUAAUAAAUCAUUUAGGAUAUUAUCUCC